rnacentral:rRNA from 1 species
UACGAAGGGUGCAAGCGUUAAUCGGAAUUACUGGGCGUAAAGCGUGCGUAGGUGGUCUUUUAAGUCCGUUGUGAAAGCCCUGGGCUCAACCUGGGAAUGGCAGUGGAUACUGGAAGGCUGGAGUACGGUAGAGGAGGGUGGAAUUCCCGGUGUAGCGGUGAAAUGCGUAGAUAUCUGGAGGAAUACCGGUGGCGAAGGCGGCAUCCUGGACCGACAUUGACGCUGAACGGCGAAAGCUAGGGGAGCAAACGGG